rnacentral:rRNA from 1 species
ACGCGAGGAACCUUACCAGGUCUUGACAUCCUCUGACACUCCUAGAGAUAGGACGUUCCCCUUCGGGGGACAGAGUGACAGGUGGUGCAUGGUUGUCGUCAGCUCGUGUCGUGAGAUGUUGGGUUAAGUCCCGCAACGAGCGCAACCCUUGAUCUUAGUUGCCAGCAUUUAGUUGGGCACUCUAAGGUGACUGCCGGUGACAAACCGGAGGAAGGUGGGGAUGACGUCAAAUCAUCAUGCCCCUUAUGACCUGGGCUACACACGUGCUACAAUGGAUGGUACAAAGGGCAGCAAAACCGCGAGGUCGAGCAAAUCCCAUAAAACCAUUCUCAGUUCGGAUUGUAGGCUGCAACUCGCCUACAUGAAGCUGGAAUCGCUAGUAAUCGCGGAUCAGCAUGCCGCGGUGAAUACGUUCCCGGGCCUUGCACACACCGCCCGU